GACGAACGCUGGCGGCGUGCCUAAUACAUGCAAGUCGAACGCAGUGGGGACGGGUGAGUAACACGUGGGUAACCUCCCAUCAGAGGGGAUAACACUUGGAAACAGGUGCUAAACCGAUACUGAUGGAUGGACCCGCCGUGCAUUAGCUAGUUGGUGAGGUAACGGCUCACCAAGGCCACGAUGCAUAGCCGACCUGAGAGGGGGAACGGACAGACUGGGACUGGGACACGGCCAAGACUCCUAAGGUAGGCGACAGUAGGGAAUCUUCGGCAAUGGACGAAAGUCUGACCGAGCAACGCAGCGUGAGUGAAGAAGGUUUUCGGAUCGGAAAACUCUGUUGUUAGAGAAGCGGUAUCUAACCAGAAAGCCACGGCUAACUACGUGCCAGCAGCCGCGGUAAAUC
rnacentral:rRNA from 1 species